AUUUAUUACCUGUAUUUUUAGAAAAGGUUUUGCAACCCCUGAUCUAAAACUUUUAGUUGGAUUGGCCUAACCAUCUUUCCAUCACCCAAAGAACAUGUUGCCUGAAGGUUUAAGAAUGUUCUCAAUACUUUGUCAAUUAAUACAUCACUAAGUGAGAUGAAACACAAGAAACUCAAUUCUGCAGGUUUUCCAUGACCAGUUUAGAUAAUGAUUUAUCUAGAGUUGAACACAGGACAGAUUUUGUUGGCAAACAAGGAAAGGCUGUGGGCUGGGCAGUCAAGAGCACCUGCCAUCCUGCCAGAGAGGAGUCAUUGCUUUUUAUGGAGAAAAUGGUGACGCCAUUCAUGGUAGCACACACCUGAAAUCCCAGCACUCAAGAGGCUGAGGCAGGAGGAUGGCUGCGAGUUGGAGGCCAGCCUGGCUACAGAGCCUCCUUCCAGUUCUCUGGUCCCAAAGCCUCUCAUUUCCAAGGGCUGAGACAGAGACAGAGACAGCGAGAUACACAGAGACAGAGACGCCGAGGCACCAGCAUCCCUCUCCCCUUCUGUCCCGCCCCACCGCUCUGACGGACAUCUGCUCUCAGCCAACGGGGCUCACGAUAUGCCCUGGAAGAGCCAAUGAGAGACAGAGGAGGGCGGAAGAUUCCCCGCCCCCACUUCUAGGCUUGGUUGAGCCGUGCAGGUAGGUCC
rnacentral:lncRNA from 1 species